rnacentral:rRNA from 1 species
UACGUAGGGUGCGAGCGUUGUCCGGAAUUAUUGGGCGUAAAGAGCUCGUAGGCGGUCUGUCGCGUCGGUCGUGAAAACCUGCAGCUUAACUGUGGGCGUGCGGUCGAUACGGGCAUGACUGGAGUUCGGCAGGGGAGACUGGAAUUCCUGGUGUAGCGGUGAAAUGCGCAGAUAUCAGGAGGAACACCGGUGGCGAAGGCGGCAUCCUGGACCGGCAUUGACGCUGAGGCGCGAAAGCCAGGGGAGCAAACGGG